UACGUAGGUGGCAAGCGUUGUCCGGAUUUACUGGGCGUAAGGAGCGCGCAGGCGGUCGUUCAAGUCGCGUGUGAAAGCCCCCGGCUCAACUGGGGAGGGUCACGCGAUACUGAUCGACUCGAAGGCAGGAGAGGGAAGUGGAAUUCCCGGUGUAGUGGUGAAAUGCGUAGAUAUCGGGAGGAACACCAGUGGCGAAGGCGAGUCCCUGGACAACACCUGACACUGAGGCACGAAAGCUAGGGGAGCAAACAGG
rnacentral:rRNA from 1 species